AUCACUCGGCUCGUCCGUCAAUGAAGAGCGCGGCCAACCGUAAGAAUUGAUGCGAAUUGCAGGACUCAGUGAACAUCGACACCUCGAAUCCAUCUUGCUA